GGACGAACGCUGGCGGCGUGCUUAACACAUGCAAGUCGAGCGAAUCAAUGGGAGCUUGCUCCCGUUGGUUAGCGGCGGACGGGUGAGUAACACGUGGGCAACCUGCCUACAAGACUGGGAUAACUUCGGGAAACCGGAGCUAAUACCGGAUAAUCCUUUUUGACACAUGUCAGAAAGCUGAAAGACGGCGCAAGCUGUCACUUAUAGAUGGGCCCGCGGCGCAUUAGCUUGUUGGUGAGGUAAUGGCUCACCAAGGCGAUGAUCAUUAGCUGGUCUGAGAGGAUGAUCAGCCAGACUGGGACUGAGAACGGCCCAGACUCCUACGGGAGGCAGCAGUAGGGAAUUUUCCACAAUGGGCGAAAGCCUGAUGGAGCAACGCCGCGUGCAGGAUGAAGGCCUUCGGGUUGUAAACUGCUUUUGUUUGUGAUGAUUAUGACAGUAACAAGCGAAUAAGGACCUGCUAACUACGUGCCAGCAGCCGCGGUCAUACGUAGGGUCCAAGCGUUAUCCGGAAUUACUGGGCGUAAAGAGUUGCGUAGGUGGCAUAGUAAGUUGGUAGUGAAAGCGUGUGGCUCAACCAUACAUCCAUUACCAAAACUGCUAAGCUAGAAGGCGAGAGAGGUAGAUGGAAUUCCUGAUGUAGGGGUAAUAUCCGUAGAUAUCAGGAGGAACACCGAUGGCGUAGGCAGUCUACUGGCUCGUUCUUGACACUAAGGCACGAAAGCGUGGGGAGCAAACAGGAUUAGAUACCCUGGUAGUCCACGCCGUAAACUAUGGAUGCUAGCUGUAAGGAGUAUCGACCCUUCUUGUAGCGAAGCUAACGCGUUAAGCAUCCCGCCUGUGGAGUACGGUCGCAAGACUAAAACAUAAAGGAAUUGACGGGGACCCGCACAAGCGGUGGAGCGUGUUGUUUAAUUCGAUGGUAAGCGAAGAACCUUACCCAGACUUGACAUCCCGAGAAGGCUUCCGAAAGGAAACUGUGCCGUAAGGAACUCGGUGACAGGUGGUGCAUGGCCGUCGUCAGCUCGUGUCGUGAGACGUUUGGUUAAGUCCAUCAACGAGCGCAACCCCUUUAGUUAGUUGAAUUUUUCUAGCUAGACUGCCCUGGUAACAGGGAGGAAGGAGGGGAUGAGGUCAGGUCAGUAUUUCCCUUACGUCUGGGGCUACAAACACGCUACAAUGGCCGGUACAAAGGGCUGCCAAGUCGCGAGACGGAGCAAAUCCCAUCAAAGCCGGUCUCAGUUCGGAUAGUAGGCUGAAACUCGCCUGCUUGAAGCCGGAAUCGCUAGUAACGGUAGGUCAGCACACUA
rnacentral:rRNA from 1 species